ACACAUGCAAGUCGAACGAGAAAGGGCUUCGGCCCGAGUAAAGUGGCGCACGGGUGAGUAACGCGUGGGUAAUCUGCCUCCGGGCGGGGGAUAACAUUCCGAAAGGAGUGCUAAUACCGCAUGAGACCACGGCCUCGAGGGGUUGUGGGAAAAGAUGGGGAUCUUCGGACCUGUCACCUGGAGAUGAGCCCGCGUACCAUUAGGUAGUUGGUGGGGUAAAGGCCCACCAAGCCGAAGAUGGUUAGCUGGUCUGAGAGGAUGAUCAGCCACACUGGAACUGAGACACGGUCCAGACUCCUACGGGAGGCAGCAGUGGGGAAUAUUGCGCAAUGGGGGCAACCCUGACGCAGCAACGCCGCGUGUGUGAUGAAGGCCUUCGGGUCGUAAAGCACUGUGAGGUGGAACGAGCCGCCGGGGGUCAAUACCCUCCGGCCCGACGGUACCACCAGAGGAAGCACCGGCUAACCCUGUGCCAGCAGCCGCGGUAAUACAGGGGGUGCAAGCGUUGUUCGGAAUUAUUGGGCGUAAAGCGCGUGUAGGCGGACCACUAAGUCUGGUGUGAAAUCCCUCGGCUCAACUGAGGACGUGCAUUGGAUACUGGUGGCCUUGAGUCCUGGAGAGGGUAGCGGAAUUCCCAGUGUAGAGGUGAAAUUCGUAGAUAUUGGGAGGAACACCGGUGGCGAAAGGCGGCUACCUGGACAGUGACUGACGCUGAGACGCGAAAGCAUGGGUAGCAAACAGGAUUAGAUACCCUGGUAGUCCAUGCCGUAAACGAUGGGUGCUAGUUGGUGCGGGUAUUGACCCCUGCGCUGACGAAGCUAACGCG
rnacentral:rRNA from 1 species